UUUGGAUACUGUCGAGCUUGAGUGCAGGAGAGGUAAGUGGAAUUCCCAGUGUAGCGGUGAAAUGCGUAGAGAUUGGGAGGAACACCAGUGGCGAAGGCGACUUACUGGACUGUAACUGACGCUGAGGCGCGAAAGUGUGGGGAGCAAACAGGAUUAGAUAUCCUGGUAGUCCACACUGUAAACGAUGAAUGCUAGGUGUAGGAGGUAUCGACCCCUUCUGUGCCGCAGUUAACACAAUAAGCAUUCCGCCUGGGGAGUACGGCCGCAAGGUUGAAACCCAAAGGAAUUGACGGGGGCCCGCACAAGCAGCGGAGCAUGUGGUUUAAUUCGACGCAACGCGAAGAACCUUACCAGGUCUUGACAUCCAGUAAAACCCGUAGAGAUACGGUGUGAGCUUGCUCAUACUGAGACAGGUGGUGCAUGGUUGUCGUCAGCUCGUGUCGUGAGAUGUUGGGUUAAGUCCCGCAACGAGCGCAACCCUUACCUUUAGUUACUAACGUGUUAUGGCGAGGACUCUAGAGGGACUGCCGGGGACAACUCGGAGGAAGGUGGGGACGACGUCAAAUCAUCAUGCCCCUUAUGACCUGGGCUACACACGUGCUACAAUGGCCACCACAGAGAGAAGCGAGCCUGCGAGGGUAAGCGGAACUCAAAAAAGUGGUCCCAGUUCGGAUUGUGGGCUGCAACCCGCCCACAUGAAGUCGGAGUUGCUAGUAAUCGCGGAUCAGCAUGCCGCGGUGAAUACGUUCCCGGGCCUUGUACACAC
rnacentral:rRNA from 1 species